GACGAACGCUGGCGGCGUGCUUAACACAUGCAAGUCGAGCGGUAAGGCCCUUUCGGGGGUACACGAGCGGCGAACGGGUGAGUAACACGUGGGUGACCUGCCCUCAGCCCUGGGAUAAGCCUGGGAAACCGGGUCUAAUACUGGAUAUGACUCCAUGACGCAUGUUGUGGGGUGGAAAGCCUUGUGCGGCUGAGGAUGGGCCCGCGGCCUAUCAGCUUGUUGGUGGGGUGAUGGCCUACCAAGGCGACGACGGGUAGCCGGCCUGAGAGGGCGACCGGCCACACUGGGACUGAGACACGGCCCAGACUCCUACGGGAGGCAGCAGUGGGGAAUCUUGCGCAAUGGGCGAAAGCCUGACGCAGCGACGCCGCGUGAGGGAUGACGGCCUGGUGUAACU
rnacentral:rRNA from 1 species